rnacentral:lncRNA from 1 species
UUAGCAGCCGAAGCGAACGGUUCUACGAAAAAGUUGUGAUAAAUAAACCUGUUAACAAGCUAUCCGAGAAAAACAUUUAUUUAUCUUAUUUGAAUGCGUUCAAAAACUGAAUAGUGAUAAAACUUAGUACUUUUGUGUCAAAACAUUCUACCUUUACGUUGUAAGUGUUGGCGGAGAUAUAAAGGUGGGAUUCAACGCUCCAAAGGAACGGU